GAUGAAGAACGUAGCGAAAUGCGAUAAGUAAUGUGAAUUGCAGAAUUCAGUGAAUCAUCGAAUCUUUGAACGCACAUUGCGCCCGCCAGUAUUCUGGCGGGCAUGCCUGUUCGAGCGUCAUUACAACCCUCAGGCCCCCGGGCCUGGCGUUGGGGAUCGGCGGAAGCCCCCUGCGGGCACAACGCCGUCCCCCAAAUACAGUGGCGGUCCCGCCGCAGCUUCCAUUGCGUAGUAGCUAACACCUCGCAACUGGAGAGCGGCGCGGCCACGCUGUAAAACACCCAACUUCUGAAUGUUGACCUCGAAUCAGGUAGGAAUACCCGCUGAACUUAAGCAUAUCAAUAAGCGGAGGA
rnacentral:misc_RNA from 1 species